UGGGGAAUAUUGGACAAUGGGCGAAAGCCUGAUCCAGCCAUGCCGCGUGUGUGAAGAAGGUCUUCGGAUUGUAAAGCACUUUAAGUUGGGAGGAAGGGCAGUAAGCUAAUACCUUGCUGUUUGACGUACCGACAGAAUA
rnacentral:rRNA from 1 species